rnacentral:rRNA from 1 species
CAAUAGCGUAUAUUUAAGUUGUUGCAGUUAAAAAGCUCGUAGUUGGAUUUCGGGUGGGACGCAGCGGUCUCGCAUUGCGUUUGUACUGCUGCAGCCCUCCUUCUUGCCGGGGGCGGCCUCUCGGACUUCACUGUCUGGGGGUCAGAAUCGGCGAUGUUACUUUGAGUAAAUUAGAGUGUUCAAAGCAAGCUUACGCUCUGAAUAUAAUAGCAUGGGAUAACACGACAGGACUCUGGCCUAUCGUGUUGGUCUAUAGGACCAGAGUAAUGAUUAAGAGGGACAGUCGGGAGCAUUCGUAUUCCGUUGUCAGAGGUGAAAUUCUUGGAUUUACGGAAGACGAACAUCUGCGAAAGCAUUUGCCAAGGAUGUUUUCAUUGA